rnacentral:tRNA from 2 species
GGGCGGUUGGCGCAGUGGUAGCGCGCUUCCCUGACACGGAAGAGGUCACUGGUUCAAACCCAGUAUCGCCCACCA